GCUCACCUUUCCCUUCCCAGAUGACAAAUCAGCCAUUAAUCUUGGUUUGAAAAACGUUUAUUGGCCGACUUCCUCCAGUAGCUUCUGAACUGUUUGCAAAUAAAGAGGAGGGAUUUUUGGUGACCUCAGUAGAGAUAGGAACUCACAGGUGGAUUUAUUCUCAGAGACCAGGAGAUUAGCUGUGAUGGCCUGCAUUAUGUGAAUUCACUUAGGGGAACAAGAGAAGCUCUUUUCAUGGAGAUGGCAAAAACCCAAGAGGAAAAGCAGAAGCUUCUAAGUUUUUAAGGGAGGGAAACAGCAUCGAUGUCUUCCAGGAGAGUGUCACUCAAGAGAACCUUGGGACCUGGAGUGCCAUGAUUGGGAAAGCAGAUCCAGGCACUCACACUAAAAUGGAUUUAAAGAUGAAAAGGCAUCGAAGUGGAAGAUGUUUGAAGGUGUCAUUUGGGUAUACGAAUGAGCUCUUUGGA